rnacentral:snRNA from 1 species
GGGUAUGAGGGCAAUCUGGCUUCAACAUCUGUCACACCAUUGAUCCUCAGGGUUAAUUUGGCUAAUCUAGCUGGCUAGGCUGGUGUCCCCUUCCUCCUUCACUGCUCCACGUGCAUCUCUCCUGAAGCUGCAUGCUCCAUCAAAGAGGAAGGCCUUCUCUUAAUAGAGACAGGCCAGUCUUAGGUCAAGAGUAUACAAGUAGCUGCACCCCCUGUUAGAACCUCCAAAUAAGCUCUCAGUUUUCACUGUUAGCUUGAAGAUCAUAUGGAGACAUUCGUAAGCAUCUCAAGUGAGAAACUUG